UACGACGGGGGCUAGCGUUGUUCGGAAUUACUGGGCGUAAAGCGUGCGCAGGCGGCUUCUCAAGUCAGGGGUGAAAGCCCAGAGCUCAACUCUGGAAUUGCCUUUGAGACUGAGUGGCUUGAGUACGAGAGAGGUGAGUGGAAUUCCCAGUGUAGAGGUGAAAUUCGUAGAUAUUGGGAAGAACACCGGUGGCGAAGGCGGCUCACUGGCUCGUAACUGACGCUCAUGCACGACAGCGUGGGGAUCAAACAGG
rnacentral:rRNA from 1 species